rnacentral:lncRNA from 13 species
CAUGACAUUGUUUUCUUUCUUUCUUUUUUUUUUAAUUAUACUUUAAGUUCUGGGGUACAUGUGUCGAUCGUGCAGGUUUGUUGCAGAGGUAUGCCCAUGCCAUGGUGGUAGUUUGCUGCAUCCAUUGCCCCAUCAUCUACAUUAGGUAUUUCUCCUAGUGUUAUCCCUCCCUAAUCCCCCACCCCCUGCCAUUCUUCCCCUAGCCCUCCACCCCGCAAGGCCCCAGUGUGUGAUGGUUCCCUCCCUGUGUCCAUGUGUUCUCAUUGUUCAACACCCACUUAUGAGUGAGAACAUGCAGUGUUUGUUUUUCUGUUCUUGUGUCAGUUUGCUGAGAAUGAUGGUUUCCAGUUUCAUCUAUGUUCCUGUAAAGGACAUGAACUCAUCCUUUUUUAUGGCCGCAUAGUAUUUGUUGGUGUAUAUGUGCCACAGUUUCUUUACCCAGCAUGACAUUGUUUUUCAAUCAACAGAUGCUAAGCACUGUGGCUGCACUUGUGCAGGGGUCUGCAGAUGGCCUUGCCACGAAACAAGAAUCCUCAGAAGCCCCCAGGAAGAUUGGGAACUACUGAGACAAUGCAGCAGAUAGCUUUUGGACUUGAACUGGAACAUCAGCUCUCUUGGGUCUCCAGCCUGCUGGCCCACCCUGCAGAUUUUGGAUUUAUCAAUCUCCAUAAUCAUGUAAGUCAAUUCCUUAUAAUAGAUCGUUAUAUAUUCACAUUCUACUGGUUCUGUUUCUCUGAAGAACCCUGACUCAUACACAUACACAUACACAUGCACGUGUACACACACACACACACACACACACACACACAUGAGUUUGCCCUGAGGCAGUAGUUUGAUGGGAUUUGGAGGGGAGGCAUAACUGCCUCUCCUUUCCUCCCUCCCUCCCUUGCUUCCAUUUCUCUGCCUCACAUCUAUCCACACAGUCCCUGAGGAGCCACGGAUGGAAAGGAGUGCAAGUAGGAACUCUAUAUCCAAAUACCAAGAGCAGACAGGAGACCCUGCUGUUAACCUUGGGAGACCCCUCUGGAGGGACUUUGCCAUCAUUCCAUACCUGGGGUUUCUGAAGCCUUACCUGGAUGUCCUGGAAUAUUCUCG